rnacentral:rRNA from 1 species
UACGUAGGUGGCAAGCGUUGUCCGGAUUUACUGGGCGUAAAGAGCGCGCAGGCGGUCGUUCAAGUCGCCGUGUGAAAGCCCCCGGCUCAACUGGGGAGGGUCACGCGAUACUGAUCGACCUCGAAGGCAGGAGAGGGAAGUGGAAUUCCCGGUGUAGUGGUGAAAUGCGUAGAUAGUCGGGAGGAACACCAGUGGCGAAGGCGACUACCUGGCCUGUUCUUGACGCUGAGGCGCGAAAGCUAGGGGAGCAAACGGG